rnacentral:rRNA from 1 species
CCUGACGGAGCAACGCCGCGUGAGGGAUGAAGGCCUCUGGGCUGUAAACCUCUUUUCUCAAGGAAGAAGAUCUGACGGUACUUGAGGAAUAAGCCACGGCUAAUUCCGUGCCAGCAGCCGCGGUAAUACGGGAGUGGCAAGCGUUAUCCGGAAUUAUUGGGCGUAAAGCGUCCGCAGGCGGCCUUGUAAGUCUGUCGUUAAAGCGUGGAGCUUAACUCCAUUUCAGCGAUGGAAACUACAAGGCUUGAGUGUGGUAGGGGCAGAGGGAAUUCCCGGUGUAGCGGUGAAAUGCGUAGAUAUCGGGAAGAACACCAGUGGCGAAGGCGCUCUGCUGGGCCAUAACUGACGCUCAUGGACGAAAGCCAGGGGAGCGAAAGGGAUUAGAUACCCCUGUAGUCCUGGCCGUAAACGAUGAACACUAGGCGUCGGGGGAAUCGACCCCCUCGGUGUCGUAGCCAACGCGUUAAGUGUUCCCNCCUGGUGAGUCGCACGCAAGUGUGAAACUCNAGGAAUUGGACCG